rnacentral:rRNA from 1 species
UUGGUGAACCUGCGGAGGGAUCAUUACCGAGUUUACAACUCCCAAACCCCAUGUGCACAUACCUGUUUGGUUCCCUCGGCGGUGUCCGGCAACGGCCCGCCAGAGGACCCAACAAACUCUUUUGAAUUUUUCAGUAUCUUCUGAGUGAAAAAAUCAAUAAAUCAAAACUUUCAACAACGCAUCUCUUGGUUCUGGCAUCGAUGAAGAACGCAGCGAAAUGCGAUAAGUAAUGUGAAUUGCAGAAUUCAGUGAAUCAUCGAAUCUUUGGACGCACAUUGCGCCCGCCAGUAUUCUGGCGGGCAUGCCUGUUCGAGCGUCAUUUCAACCCUCAAGCUCUGCUUGGUGUUGGGGAUCGGCAAGGCGUCCUCCGGGUCGCGCCGUCCCCCAAAUAUAGUGGCGGUCUCGCUGUAGCUUCCUCUGCGUAGUAAUACACCUCGCUCUGGAGUCUCGGUGCGACCACGCCGUAAAACCCCCAACUUUUUCUCCCUCACCACGAAUCAGGUAGGACUACCCGCUGAACUUAA